AAUGAAACCCGGUGGUCCAUUUCGUACUGCUGGUCAUCGAGGUAGACAAAUUUUAGAUGAUGAAGGCCCCAUGUUUUGUCAUAUACCCUCUAGGAGGAAGUCACCUGGUAGAAGAGAUGGACUUCCAGUACGAGGUGUUAAAAUGGUACACAGAAUGCAUAGAAGUAUUAGUCCAGGUAGAUGCAUUCGUGAACAUGAGUCUGAAUUGG
rnacentral:misc_RNA from 1 species